rnacentral:rRNA from 1 species
AUAUCAAUAAGCGGAGGAAAAGAAACUAACAAGGAUUCCCCUAGUAACUGCGAGUGAAGCGGGAAAAGCUCAAAUUUAAAAUCUGGCGGUCUUCGGCCGUCCGAGUUGUAGUCUGGAGAAGUGCYUUCCGCGCUGGACCGUGUACAAGUCUCUUGGAACAGAGCGUCRUAGAGGGUGAGAAUCCCGUCUUUGACACGGACUACCAGUGCUUUGUGAUGCGCUCUCAAAGAGUCGAGUUGUUUGGGAAUGCAGCUCAAAAUGGGUGGUAAAUUCCAUCUAAAGCUAAAUAUUGGCGAGAGACCGAUAGCGAACAAGUACCGUGAGGGAAAGAUGAAAAGCACUUUGGAAAGAGAGUUAAACAGUACGUGAAAUUGCUGAAAGGGAAACGAUUGAAGUCAGUCGCGUUAGCCAGGACUCAGCCUUGUUUUUACUUGGUGCAUUUUCUGGUUGACGGGCCAGCAUCGAUUUUGACCGCCGGAAAAAGAUUGGGGGAAUGUGGCACCUUCGGGUGUGUUAUAGCCCUCAGUCACAUACGGCGAUUGGGAUCGAGGACCGCAGCACGCCUUUAUGGCCGGGGUUCGCCCACGUUCGUGCUUAGGAUGCUGGCGUAAUGGCUUUAAACGACCCGUCUUGAAACACGGACCAAGGAGUCUAACAUGCCUGCGAGUGUUUGGGUGGAAAACCCGAGCGCGUAAUGAAAGUGAAAGUUGAGAUCCCUGUCGCGGGGAGCAUCGACGCCCGGACUUGAACUUCGGUGAUAGAUCUGCGGUAGAGCAUGUAUGUUGGGACCCGAAAGAUGGUGAACUAUGCCUGAAUAGGGUGAAGCCAGAGGAAACUCUGGUGGAGGCUCGUAGCGAUUCUGACGUGCAAAUCGAUCGUCAAAUUUGGGUAUAGGGGCGA